AAUCUGGCUCUCUCAGGGUCCGAGUUGUAAUUUGUAGAGGAUGUUUCGGGCACGGUUACGGUUUAAAUUUCUUGGAACAGAAUGUCAAAGAGGGUGAGAGUCCCGUCUUGAACCGAUUACUUCGUCCAUGUGAAACUCCUUCGACGAGUCGAGUUGUUUGGGAAUGCAGCUCAAAAUGGGUGGUAAAUUUCAUCUAAAGCUAAAUAUUGGCCAGAGACCGAUAGCGCACAAGUAGAGUGAUCGAAAGAUGAAAAGCACUUUGAAAAGAGAGUUAAACAGUAUGUGAAAUUGUUGAAAGGGAAGCGCUUGUAAUCAGACUUGAGCUUAACAGUUCCCCCUUCGUUCUCGUUGGGUUAUUCUGUUUUGUCCAGGCCAACAUCAGUUCGGGUGGUUGGUUAAAAACUUUGGGAAUGUAUCUACCCCUCGGGGUCGACUUAUAGCCUAGAGUGUCAUGCAGCCUACCUGGACUGAGGAACGCGCUUCGGCUCGGAUGUUGGCGUAAUGGUUAUAAGCGACCCG
rnacentral:rRNA from 1 species